UGGGCACGUCUAAGGAGACUGCCGGUGGACAAACCGGAGGAAGGUGGGGAUGACGUCAAGUCAUCAUGGCCCUUACGGCCUGGGCUACACACGUGCUACAAUGGUCGGUACAAAGGGUUGCCAAGCCGCGAGGUGGAGCUAAUCCCAUAAAACCGAUCGUAGUCCGGAUCGCAGUCUGCAACUCGACUGCGUGAAGUCGGAAUCGCUAGUAAUCGUGAAUCAGAAUGUCACGGUGAAUACGUUCCCGGGCCUU
rnacentral:rRNA from 1 species